GACGAACGCUGGCGGCGUGCUUAACACAUGCAAGUCGAACGGAAAGGCCCUGCUUUUGUGGGGUGCUCGAGUGGCGAACGGGUGAGUAACACGUGAGUAACCUGCCCUUGACUUUGGGAUAACUUCAGGAAACUGGGGCUAAUACCGGAUAGGAGCUCCUGCUGCAUGGUGGGGGUUGGAAAGUUUCGGCGGUUGGGGAUGGACUCGCGGCUUAUCAGCUUGUUGGUGGGGUAGUGGCUUACCAAGGCUUUGACGGGUAGCCGGCCUGAGAGGGUGACCGGCCACAUUGGGACUGAGAUACGGCCCAGACUCCUACGGGAGGCAGCAGUGGGGAAUAUUGCACAAUGGGCGGAAGCCUGAUGCAGCAACGCCGCGUGCGGGAUGACGGCCUUCGGGUUGUAAACCGCUUUCGCCUGUGACGAAGCGUGAGUGACGGUAAUGGGUAAAGAAGCACCGGCUAACUACGUGCCAGCAGCCGCGGUGAUACGUAGGGUGCGAGCGUUGUCCGGAUUUAUUGGGCGUAAAGGGCUCGUAGGUGGUUGAUCGCGUCGGAAGUGUAAUCUUGGGGCUUAACCCUGAGCGUGCUUUCGAUACGGGUUGACUUGAGGAAGGUAGGGGAGAAUGGAAUUCCUGGUGGAGCGGUGGAAUGCGCAGAUAUCAGGAGGAACACCAGUGGCGAAGGCGGUUCUCUGGGCCUUUCCUGACGCUGAGGAGCGAAAGCGUGGGGAGCGAACAGGCUUAGAUACCCUGGUAGUCCACGCUGUAAACGGUGGGUACUAGGUGUGGGGUCCAUUCCACGGGUUCCGUGCCGUAGCUAACGCUUUAAGUACCCCGCCUGGGGAGUACGGCCGCAAGGCUAAAACUCAAAGGAAUUGACGGGGCCCCGCACAAGCGGCGGAGCAUGCGGAUUAAUUCGAUGCAACGCGUAGAACCUUACCUGGGUUUGACAUGGAUCGGGAGUGCUCAGAGAUGGGUGUGCCUCUUUUGGGGUCGGUUCACAGGUGGUGCAUGCCUGUCGUCAGCUCGUGUCGUGAGAUGUUGGGUUAAGUCCCGCAACGAGCGCAACCCUUGUUCACUGUUGCCAGCACGUCAUGGUGGGGACUCAGUGGAGACCGCCGGGGUCAACUCGGAGGAAGGUGGGGAUGACGCCAAGUCAUCAUGCCCCUUAUGUCCAGGGCUUCACGCAUGCUACAAUGGCUGGUACAGAGAGUGGCGAGCCUGUGAGGGUGAGCGAAUCUCGGAAAGCCGGUCUCAGUUCGGAUUGGGGUCUGCAACUCGACCUCAUGAAGUCGGAGUCGCUAGUAAUCGCAGAUCAGCAACGCUGCGGUGAAUAAGUUCCCGGGGCU
rnacentral:rRNA from 1 species